rnacentral:rRNA from 1 species
UACAGAGACUGCAAGCGUUAUUCGGAUUCACUGGGUUUAAAGGGUGCGUAGGCGGAUUUGUAAGUCCGUGGUGAAAUCUCCGAGCUUAACUCGGAAACUGCCAUGGAUACUAUAGGUCUUGAAUGUUGUGGAGGUCAGCGGAAUAUGUCAUGUAGCGGUGAAAUGCUUAGAUAUGACAUAGAACACCUAUUGCGAAGGCAGCUGGCUACGCAAAUAUUGACGCUGAGGCACGAAAGCGUGGGGAUCAAACAGG